rnacentral:rRNA from 1 species
AUUGAACGCUGGCGGCAGGCCUAACACAUGCAAGUCGAGCGGAUGAGAGGAGCUUGCUUCUCGAUUCAGCGGCGGACGGGUGAGUAAUGCCUAGGAAUCUGCCUGGUAGUGGGGGACAACGUUUCGAAAGGAACGCUAAUACCGCAUACGUCCUACGGGAGAAAGCAGGGGACCUUCGGGCCUUGCGCUAUCAGAUGAGCCUAGGUCGGAUUAGCUAGUUGGUGAGGUAAUGGCUCACCAAGGCGACGAUCCGUAACUGGUCUGAGAGGAUGAUCAGUCGCACUGGAACUGGGACACGGUCCAGACUCCUACGGGAGGCAGCAGUGGGGAAUAUUGGACAAUGGGCGCAAGCCUGAUCCAGCCAUGCCGCGUGUGUGAAGAAGGCCUUCGGGUUGUAAAGCACUUUCAGCGAGGAGGAAGGGAGUUGUGUUAAUAGCACAGCUUCUUGACGUUACUCGCAGAAGAAGCACCGGCUAACUCUGUGCCAGCAGCCGCCGUAAUAC